UACAGAGGGUGCGAGCGUUGUUCGGAAUUAUUGGGCGUAAAGGGCGCGUAGGCGGUGCGGUAAGUCACCUGUGAAAUCUCCUGGCUCAACUGGGAGCUUGCAGGCGAAACUGCCGUGCUGGAGUGUGGGAGAGGUGCGUGGAAUUCCUGGUGUAGCGGUGAAAUGCGUAGAUAUCAGGAGGAACACCUGUGGUGUAGGCGGCUUUCUGGACCAUAGCUGACGCUGAGACACGAAAGCGUGGGUAGCAAACAGG
rnacentral:rRNA from 1 species